AUAAAAAAUUAAAGAUAUAUUGUAACUUCAAGUAAUCAAUUACACCAGCUAAAGGGACAAACAUGAUCCUUGGUUGUACUAAAAACUAUUCAAUUGAAAUAAGCACAGCGUGGGAUUUUUCCCAUGGUAAGUGAUCAAACAAUUUUGUAUUUGUUGCAUGCAAAGGUAGAGUAAAAAAUGGCUAAAACUCUGGUUUUUUAUACUAUGAUCCUUUUUGUGUUCUUAUGUCUUGCUCUAGUCGAUGUUGGUGCUAUAACAUAUACGUCAGACAACGAUUGUCUAACUUACGAGUGUCCCCUUAAUCGUCGUGGAUUUUGCAUAGAUGGUAGUUGUAAGUGCUUAUAGUACAAGUAAAGAUUGCCAUUGAAGUUCAUAAGUAUUAUUAUAUCUCUUCAGGUGCCUCUUAUGGACGAAGGGAUUGUUGCCCCUAUUGGCUUAUUUACAUCAGUUGCAGUUUGUUUUUUUAAAUGGCCCAAAAUUUGUUUCUAGGGUUCUAAAUCUCAUUGAGAAGAUGUUUCAUAUCAAAUCCUAUAUCAUUUUAAGUGUAUCGAACAUUGUGACUGAUUUAUAUUAAUUAUUGUAUCUCUACUAUAGGGAUUUUUCAUUCA